UCCGAGUUGACCCCGGCGGUCUCCCAUGAGUCCCCACCACCACGUGCUGGCAACAUGGAACGAGGGUUGCGCUCGUUGCGGGACUUAACCCAACAUCUCACGACACGAGCUGACGACAGCCAUGCAGCAUCUGUGGUGCACCCUCGAAGGUCACACGGUUUCCCGCGCCUACUUCCAGAAUGUCAAGCCUCGGUAAGGUUCUUCGCUUUGCAUCGAAUUAAGCAACGCGCUCCGCCGCUUGUGCGGGCCCCGUCAAUUCCUUUGAGUUUUAGCCUUGCGGCCGUACUCCCCAGGCGGCGAACUUAAUGCGUUAGCUUCGGCACGGAAGCCGUGAAGGCCCCCACACCUAGUUCGCACCGUUUACGGCCAGGACUAC
rnacentral:misc_RNA from 1 species